rnacentral:rRNA from 1 species
UGAGGAAUAUUGGGCAAUGGGCGAGAGCCUGACCCAGCAACGCCGCGUGGAGGAAGACGGCCUUCGGGUUGUAAACUCCUUUUGACGGGGAAGAGAGAGGACGGUACCCGUCGAAUAAGUCACGGCUAACUACGUGCCAGCAGCCGCGGUAAUACGUAGGUGACAAGCGUUAUCCGGAAUUACUGGGCGUAAAGCGCACGCAGGCGGCAGAUUAAGUCUGACGUGAAAUCUCCUGGCUUAACUGGGAGGGGUCGUUGGAAACUGGUCAGCUUGAGGUGGUGAGAGGGGUGUAGAAUUCCCGGUGUAGUGGUGGAAUGCGUAGAUAUCGGGAGGAAUACCAGUGGCGAAAGCGACACCCUGGCACUAGCCUGACGCUCAUGUGCGAAAGCGUGGGGAGCAAACGGG